rnacentral:ncRNA from 2 species
CUCCAGCACAUGGGAGAACCGAGAGUGGCGCAUUGCUGCAGCCCUCGGUGCCGAAGGAGCAACCGCCCCGGAAACUCUCAGGCCACAGGGACCGUGUGCUGGUA